rnacentral:rRNA from 1 species
AGAGUUUGAUCAUGGCUCAGAUUGAACGCCGGCGGCAGGCCUAACACAUGCAAGUCGAACGGUAACAGGAAGAAGCUUGCUUCUUUGCUGACGAGUGGCGGACGGGUGAGUAAUGUCUGGGAAACUGCCUGAUGGAGGGGGAUAACUACUGGAAACGGUAGCUAAUACCGCAUAACGUCGCAAGACCAAAGAGGGGGACCUUCGGGCCUCUUGCCAUCGGAUGUGCCCAGAUGGGAUUAGCUAGUAGGUGGGGUAACGGCUCACCUAGGCGACGAUCCCUAGCUGGUCUGAGAGGAUGACCAGCCACACUGGAACUGAGACACGGUCCAGACUCCUACGGGAGGCAGCAGUGGGGAAUAUUGCACAAUGGGCGCAAGCCUGAUGCAGCCAUGCCGCGUGUAUGAAGAAGGCCUUCGGGUUGUAAAGUACUUUCAGCGGGGAGGAAGGGAGUAAAGUUAAUACCUUUGCUCAUUGACGUUACCCGCAGAAGAAGCACCGGCUAACUCCGUGCCAGCAGCCGCGGUAAUACGGAGGGUGCAAGCGUUAAUCGGAAUUACUGGGCGUAAAGCGCACGCAGGCGGUUUGUUAAGUCAGAUGUGAAAUCCCCGGGCUCAACCUGGGAACUGCAUCUGAUACUGGCAAGCUUGAGUCUCGUAGAGGGGGGUAGAAUUCCAGGUGUAGCGGUGAGAUGCGUAGAGAUCUGGAGGAAUACCGGUGGCGAAGGCGGCCCCCUGGACGAAGACUGACGCUCAGGUGCGAAAGCGUGGGGAGCAAACAGGAUUAGAUACCCUGGUAGUCCACGCCGUAAACGAUGUCGACUUGGAGGUUGUGCCCUUGAGGCGUGGCUUCCGGAGCUAACGCGUUAAGUCGACCGCCUGGGGAGUACGGCCGCAAGGUUAAAACUCAAAUGAAUUGACGGGGGCCCGCACAAGCGGUGGAGCAUGUGGUUUAAUUCGAUGCAACGCGAAGAACCUUACCUGGUCUUGACAUCCACGGAAGUUUUCAGAGAUGAGAAUGUGCCUUCGGGAACCGUGAGACAGGUGCUGCAUGGCUGUCGUCAGCUCGUGUUGUGAAAUGUUGGGUUAAGUCCCGCAACGAGCGCAACCCUUAUCCUUUGUUGCCAGCGGUCCGGCCGGGAACUCAAAGGAGACUGCCAGUGAUAAACUGGAGGAAGGUGGGGAUGAUGUCAAGUCAUCAUGGCCCUUACGACCAGGGCUACACACGUGCUACAAUGGCGCAUACAAAGAGAAGCGACCUCGCGAGAGCAAGCGGACCUCAUAAAGUGCGUCGUAGUCCGGAUUGGAGUCUGCAACUCGACUCCAUGAAGUCGGAAUCGCUAGUAAUCGUGGAUCAGAAUGCCACGGUGAAUACGUUCCCGGGCCUUGUACACACCGCCCGUCACACCAUGGGAGUGGGUUGCAAAAGAAGUAGGUAGCUUAACCUUCGGGAGGGCGCUUACCACUUUGUGAUUCAUGACUGGGGUGAAGUCGUAACAAGGUA